UGACCGGGUCCUGCGCAAUGGAAACUUUCGAACCCCGUCAGGUCCGGGAGGAAGCAGCGGUAAGGAAGCCCUUUCAUGUGCCGCAGGGGAGCCUGGUCGGAGC
rnacentral:SRP_RNA from 1 species